GCGCCGAACGUCUUAAAACAUGAACGAAAACCUGAAGAAAUCGAGUUUCUUACUUCUGAAAUCUUUAAAAAUAUAUAUCGUCAUAAUAUUGAUUUAAUAACACAUAAUAACACAAAAUGUUUCCGUAGACAUUAACAGGCAGUUUAAGACUGUUUAGCUUGAGGCGGAACACUAGCGGGAGCGCUCGGAAUUCAACAGGACUCUUUUGAGAGUUGCACCAACGUUUCCCUACGUUACACUUUAGCUCUACACCCUUCGUUCUGCUCCACUGUUGCUCCUUUUAUCCGAAUGUUGACAGUAUAAGCAGCGUGUUUGUUUUUUUUUACUCAAGUACGGAUGUGUCAAAGUCAGUUUGCUGAAUAACGAGCUUUUCCCGGAGGAGGAGGACACGCAGAGAUGGAAUUUUGGACCGAGGAGGGAGACGCAAGACUUUUUUUUUUUCAAAAGUACACCAGUAAGUCCUCAAGUCAAAUAAAUUGGGAAUAACAUAGAGAUUAAUUAUUCAAAAGGAAGGAAAAUCUGGGAUUGGACUGAACUUUGUGACUUUGCUGAGGACAAAGAUGGAUUUGACGUAAAUGUACAGAGUUGUUUAAAAACAUACUGGGAGAAAAAUAUAGUAGAAAUGAAUCGUUCAGAACUUCGUAAGUUACUUUUGGUCUCAUAUCCUCAAAACUUAAAUUCACGUUUAAGUUUUUAAGCGGCAUAACUUCAUACAGCAGAUUAACGACCUAAAAUCCUAAAUCUGCGACGAUGCCCAAAAUUACUCAGCUUGAGAGACAACGUAUAAUCUUGAUGGACCAACAGAAUGUUUCCCAAACAGCUAUUAGUCAGAAACUUGGAAUAUCGCGAUGUGGCGUACAGGCAAUCAUCAAGAAGUUCAAAGAAACGGGAAAACUGGAGGACAGGAAACGAAGCGGCCGACCGAAAAAACUGUCCAAGUCUGAUGUGAAGUAUCUCAAAGUAUCUUUGUCAAGAAACGGAAAGAAAUCCAACAAAGUCCUAGCGCAAGAGCUCAGAAAUGCAUCGGGCCCCUCGGUGCAUCCGUCGACCGUUCGACGAAGCCUCAUCAGAAAUGGACUGAAUGGAACAGUUGCGGCUGAAAUGCCGUCGACUGAGGAGGGGGACGAGGAAGGAGUGGCUCAAACGUGCAACAUCAAAGAAGAACCGGACCUCGGUUUGGACAAAAGUCAUGGGGAAUGACGAUCGGUAGAGGAACUGUAGAACGUCCUUCAACAUCUGCUUGGUAAAACCAACAGGAGGCUCUGUAUUGAUUUGGUGCUGCAUUUCAGUAGUGGAGUAUACCUCCCCCUAUACAGUGACAUGAUGUAACAGCGUUUGUAAAGGACCAUAUCGACAUUUUGACCGUAUUCAUGAACCCGCUGAAAGUGAAAAACGGACACGUAAUCAGGGGGAAAAAAAAGGAUGGGAUAUUAACAGCACUGGAUUCGUUCCCAAAGACUGGACUUAAACUCUGCCAACGAACUCAACAGCUGUACAGAGAAAAGGAAAUGAUGUCACUGAGACUCUUUAUUGGUUGUUUUUUAUUUUGAAUUUUAUUCAAAAUUAGGUGCUCCACAGUGACGUUAAUAAUGGUCUAAUAAAUCAUUUUCAACUUGAACUUUAGUUCAAAAUAUUAUUACAUAUUUUUACAAGGAAAAAUUCUUACCCUA